UGGGGAAUAUUGCACAAUGGGGGAAACCCUGAUGCAGCGACGCCGCGUGAACGAAGAAGGUAUUCGUAUCGUAAAGUCCUGUCCUAUGGGAAGAUAAUGACAGUACCAUAGAAUAAAGCUCCGGCUAAAUACGUGCCAUCAGCCGCGGUAAUACGUAUGGAGCGAGCGUUGUCCGGAAUUAUUGGGCGUAAAGGGUACGAAGGCGGUUUAAUAAGUCGGAUGUUAAAGAUCGGGGCUCAACCCCGUAAAGCAUUGGAAACUGUUUAACUUGAGUAAUGGUGAAGAAAGUUGAAUUCCUAGUGUAGUGGUGAAAUUCGUAGAUAUUAGGAGGAAUACCAGAAGCGAAGGCGACUUUCUGGACACAAACUGACGCUGAAGUACGAAAGCGUGGGGAGCAAACAGG
rnacentral:rRNA from 1 species